CACCGCCUCAGUGGGAAGCAGCCUGGGCAAGCUCCUUCUGCUGUUUAACCCCUGGUGCCAAGAGGACUGGGUGCAUCUACCUAAAGAGGAGGAGAGGCAGGAGUAUGUGUGAGAGAACAAGGCCUGGUGUACAGAGGUUCUGAGAAAUACAUCAGCUCUAUGGCGUGGAACUUGGACAGUUUGAAGACGAUAUAGUGGACAUUUGCCUGGCUGCUUGACGUGAAUCCCAAGUGUCUGAGUGACCCCGCCAAGGACUUCUCUGCUCGUUGCAACCCCAUCUAUGUCAGUAGGGUGGUCAGUGCAUGAUCAACGCUAACGUGAAGGAGGUGUCCUGAUGGGGCGGUGGGAUGGUAAUACGAUGGUGGCAUGUCCCCCACUCACUGGACGGCAGUGUGGAGGUACUAAGGAGGUGGCUCAAAAAUGGUGGCAAUCCCAGUCAAGUAUGGCACAGUGUUG